rnacentral:rRNA from 1 species
GACAGAGGCCUCAAGCGUUAGGCGGAAUCACUGGGCUUAAAGCGUGUGUAGGCGGGUCGUUAAGUACCUUGUGAAAUCCCACGGCUCACCCGUGGAACGGCUGGGUAUACUGGCGAUCUUGGGCCAACUAGGGGCGACUGGAACAAGCGGUGGAGCGGUGAAAUGCGUAGAUAUCGCUUGGAACGCCGAAGGUGAAAACAGGUCGCUGGGGUUGUGCCGACGCGUGAGACACGAAAGCCAGGGGAGCAAACGGG